CUUGGGGGUCAUCUGCUAAGUCGUAAGACAGAUAAUCACAGGUUCUUGUAUUUCAAUCUUAAUUUCUAAUAUCUAUUACACUCAGUCACAAAUCACAUGCCACACAAUUUUAUACAUAUAUGGUUCAGGCGGCUAAACUGAGAGCAAAGGUAGAGAGCAGAGAGCUGCAAAGAGUCACUGUAGAUGAUCGGGAAAGAUUAGGACCCAGCCAAAGAACUUGUCAAGGCCCAGAGCUGUCAAAGCAUGGGGACUCAUUCUAGGCCAAGGUCUGGAUAGAUGGCAGUUUCACUGUGUCAGCUUGGUAUGCCAGCUUGGAGUGGGACUCAUGUGGUCAUCCCAGGCAGGAGGAACAGCACUCUCUUAAAGCCAGAUGAUAGAUUCAGAGGUUCCUCACUUUGGCCAUUUUCCUGGAUGGUGGCUGUUUACUUGUACAAAGAAGACGCAGAGCCAUGCCACCUCAGCACUUGAACUCACAAUGGAGUAACUCAUGGUUCACCAAAUCUGAGCACCAUCCACACCUGUAAUCCCAGCCAUUCGGGAGGCUGAGGCAGGAGGAUCCCAAGUUCAAGCCACUAUUUAUGUCUUUUCCUGCAGACACUGGAACAAAUACAUCUUUGCUGUUUCAAAUACUUUGUCCAUUAA